rnacentral:lncRNA from 1 species
GAAGAGCACUGGGCAGGGGGGUCAGAGGAUGAAGGCCAGACUGACUGCUGGCCGCCGCCAACUAGCUAGCUAUGUGAGCCAACCUCUCAGCCUGAGUUUUCUUGUCUGUGAAAUGAGACUGGGGGUAAAAGGAAGUGGUAAAAGACCCUUCUAGCAACCAAAUUCUGUGAUUUAUGAAUAUUGUAACCUGUAAACUUUCAAUGGCACCAAGGUGAUUGUGAGGACCACAGUAGCCUGCUAAUGUAAGCACUAUUCUUCAGGUCACAGUUUCAGGGCCAAAACACCAUCCUUCCCAGGUCGUCAAGUAAUUCUCCUCGGUAGAUGAUCUGCUGAGGCCGGCGAUUAUUCAGCCCUUCGGGAGGUGAGUGCAGAGCUGUUUUUCUCACCAUCUUUAGCCUUCUGGGUAUUCCUCAUGCUUCCCCCUCUCUCAGGAGAAUCUCUUGCCUCCUCCUCAUCUUCUUCUUCCUGAUUUAUCACUGCCUCUGCCCCAUCUGACAUUAGGAAAGUGUUUCAUCGUGCUCGAGUAGAAGAUUUCAUGGGAAACAGACUACCAUCUUUGGAACAGGAUCCGAUAUGAAUAAUUCUUUGAAACAUUUUUCUCUGCAUGUCUGUAUCUUAGUCAACUUUCAGUUUCCCCUGCUUGAGGAGAGUGGGGCAUGUAGACAAUCCAAAUGUCAUCUAUAUUUGGCUUUAGAGUGUGUUUUCUACUUAGCUUUGAGUUCUGGAUAGAUCUGCGAUUCUGGGAACUGACUUUAAACAAAAUCACGAAGCUUUGCAGUGAAGACACAUCUGACUCACAAUGUCCUUUGCUGCAUCUGCAUUUGAGCUGCCCAAGAGCCCAACUAAAUUAAUCCCUCCAGAAGUAAAGGAGAUGAAAUCAACCAAUCUGAGGAAAGCCUGACCAAGGCAUUCAUGUAUCAAAAAGAUAUGGAAUACCUACCCACUGCAUACAUGAUACUAGAAAUCCUACAGCUUCCCUGCACAGUGGCUGUGGUUUUCAUUUAUAUGAAACUGAGGCCAGAGAGGUAAAGAACUUGGCCUGAAGUCACAUGGGGCACUGGGUAUUAUUUGAAGCAGUUUUUUUCAAAAAAGUCACGGAGAAACAUUACUCAGAGCCUCUCCCUCACACCCUGCAGAUAGAGCUCUGAAUCUCGGCAUCUGUGAGUUGUUUCUUUUGGGCUUUUUAAAAAGUCUUCCAGAAUUGUGGAAUGGGAUAGUUUCAGUUAAAAUAUCUGUUUUUGAAAAUCAUGACCAAUAAUAAAAAUCAAGAAUGUCCUAUUACAUAUUUCAUACCUUUAAGAAUUUUGUUUUGCUCUAAUUGGUCUUAUUGGAUUAAAUGAUUUCUAAAGUCUUCUCUGGGACUUCACUUUUGUGUUUCAAGUUUCUUAUCCAUCUGAAAGCCAUAUAUUUGGGUUAAACCAAAUUAUUAGCAAUAGGUAUCUUUGUAGAAUUUCUAGUAGUUUGGAAGGAGUUGAAUGUACUAGAAUCAUAGCACGUAUUUCAGCUGCUUUAUUAGCAGUCUAGCUAAGGGGAGUUUAUUGUUCCAGUUUUAGUCAUUAUAAUACAGCCCUGUUUAAUAUUGCAUGAUCUGUGGGUUGCCAUAAACUUGGUACAAAUUGGAGUGCUGAUAUAACAUGAAAUGAAGCGCCUUGUCUGAAUGUUGCUUUUGUUUUGCAUUUAACAAAUUAGUAUGUUGACAUUUGUCACUGAUGGAUUUCAUUAUUUGCUGAAAGGGUUUUAGGGGGUUUGACAGCAUGAAUGGUUUGUCUUACAGACUUUUGAGAAUUGAUAAAAGCAUCUUUGUUCUUUGUACAAAAGCACAACAGAUAUCGUAUUGAUGGACACACAAAAAGGGAUGGCUUGUGUAG